rnacentral:snoRNA from 1 species
AUGGAGGUGAUGAAUUUUUCCCCAGAUGAUUCGAAGCUGAAAUUACUGAGCGCUUUUUUGUAUUUUCUCCCUUGUGGAGAAUAUCCAAGCCAAAUAUUCUGAUCCAU